rnacentral:rRNA from 1 species
GACGAACGCUGGCGGCGUGCUUAACACAUGCAAGUCGAGCGGUAAGGCCCUUUCGGGGGUACACGAGCGGCGAACGGGUGAGUAACACGUGGGUGACCUGCCCUUAGCUCUGGGAUAAGCCUGGGAAACUGGGUCUAAUACCGGAUAUGACUCCAUGACGCAUGUUGUGGGGUGGAAAGCCUUGUGCGGCUAGGGAUGGGCCCGCGGCCUAUCAGCUUGUUGGUGGGGUGAUGGCCUACCAAGGCGACGACGGGUAGCCGGCCUGAGGGGGCGACCGGCCACACUGGGACUGAGACACGGCCCAGACUCCUACGGGAGGCAGCAGUGGGGAAUCUUGCGCAAUGGGCGAAAGCCUGACGCAGCGACGCCGCGUGAGGGAUGACGGCCUGG